AUUGAACGCUGGCGGCAGGCCUAACACAUGCAAGUCGAACGAGUGGCGGACGGGUGAGUAAUGUCUGGGAAACUGCCUGAUGGAGGGGGAUAACUACUGGAAACGGUCGCUAAUACCCCCUACCCUCAGUUGUGCCCAGAUGGGAUUAGCUAGUUGGUGGGGUAACGGCUCACAAAGGCGACGAUGCCUCUCUGGUCUGAGAGGAUGACCAGCCACACUGGAAGUGAGACACGGUCCAGACUCCUACGGGAGGCAGCAGGGGGGAAUAUUGCACAAUGGGCGAAAGCCUGAUGCAGCAAUGCCGCGUGUAUGAGAAAGGCCUGCGGGUUGUAAAGUACUUUCAGCGGGGAGGCGUUACCCGAAGAAGAAGCAACGGCUAACUCCGUGCCAGCAGCCGCGGUAAUAC
rnacentral:rRNA from 1 species